rnacentral:rRNA from 1 species
GACGAACGCUGGCGGCGUGCUUAACACAUGCAAGUCGGACGGUAAGGCCCUUCGGGGUACACGAGUGGCGAACGGGUGAGUAACACGUGGGUGAUCUGCCCUGCACUUCGGGAUAAGCCUGGGAAACUGGGUCUAAUACCGGAUAGGACCCUGGGAUGCAUGUCCUGGGGUGGAAAGCUUUUGCGGUGUGGGAUGGGCCCGCGGCCUAUCAGCUUGUUGGGGGGGUGAUGGCCUACCAAGGCGACGACGGGUAGCCGGCCUGAGAGGGUGACCGGCCACACUGGGGCUGAGAUACGGCCCAGACGCCUACGGGAGGCAGCAGUGGGGAAUAUUGCACGAUGGGAGCAAGCCUGGUGCAGCGACGCCGCGUGAGGGAUGACGGCCUUCGGGUUGUAAACCUCUUUCAGCACCGACGAAGCGCAAGUGACGGUAGGUGCAGAAGAAGGACCGGCCAACUACGUGCCAGCAGCCGCCGCGG